GAUAGACUUCCCAAAGAAGGUGAUGCCGAAGCUGAGGUCGGAAAUUACGAAGAUCAGCUAUCAAACUUGGAAAUCAUGUCUUAGAGAUCAAGGAGCCAAGAGAUGAGACAAGCCUGGGUUCCUAGGUGAUAGGGUGUGGCUGUGUCCCCACCCAAAUCUCGUCUUGAAUUGUAGCUCCCAUAAUCCCCACAUGUUGUGGAGGGACCCUGUGGAAGAUUGUGCCUGCAGCCUGGCCUGUUGCCCACAGCGGUCUACCUGCCACACUGGGAAAGAUCGAGCAGAGACAGAGAAGAAAAGGAGGCUCCAUUUUUCAGGCUGCUCUCCCGCAGGCUCAUGUUUUGUGUUCAUGCCAGGCAGAGAACACAAAAUGUUCCAAUAAAUAAGUAUCAAAGCAUCUACUUGUUUCCAAAGUUAUUUGGGUCAGCAUUUUCCUCCACCCACCACUUAAAACUGAUUUGUUUCAUACAUUUGAAAUGUAUGAAAAGCCAGAAAUCCAGGACCCACCCUGGCCUGCUCCCUUUUUCUCACCUACUGUGUUAAGAUGUCUACACUUUUACCUCUGCUUGCCUGAUACAACCACCACCAGUCACCUCACAGAAUAACUCACUCCUUAAGAAUCUGAUCAGGAAUCAGCCUUCCCUGAUCACAAACACUGAGUUUAGAAGUCCCUCCACAGUGUCCCCCGUAACCCUGUGCUACCUCACUGCCUCAUAGUUUAGUGCCGUUUGUGUACAUGCCUAUCUUCGUCCAUGGAUCCAGAACAACUUGUAAAAAUGACUGUACUUAUCACCUUCAGUAUUCAAUGACUAAACUAUAAUUUUAACAUAUCUGGCAGAAUGAAUCACUUGGGGAUUUCUGCCAACACUACCAAUAUAUUACUCCUAAUUUGUAAUUAUUACUUAGCAUGGAUUAUAGUACCGGCUGUUGGAGAGCCAAUGUGGCAGACCCUAAGUGGAAUAAAAUGUCAGUAGCAGUCUAGGAGCAUAUAUUUAUUGGAAUAGAUCAUUCAUUCAUUUGUUCAUUAACUAAUUUGUUCAUUAAAUAAACAUUUAUUAAGCA
rnacentral:lncRNA from 1 species